CCUACGGGGGGCAGCAGUGAGGAAUAUUGGUCAAUGGGCGCGAGCCUGAACCAGCCAAGUAGCGUGAAGGAUGACUGCCCUACGGGUUGUAAACUUCUUUUAUAAAGGAAUAAAGUGAGGCACGUGUGCCUUUUUGUAUGUACUUUAUGAAUAAGGAUCGGCUAACUCCGUGCCAGCAGCCGCGGUAAUACGGAGGAUCCGAGCGUUAUCCGGAUUUAUUGGGUUUAAGGGGAGCGCAGGAGGGUUGUUAAGUCAGUUGUGAAAGUCUGCGGCUCAACCGUAAAAUUGCAAUUGAUACUGGCAGCCUUGAGUACAGAUGAGGUAGGCGGAAUUCGUGGUGUAGCGGUGGAAUGCGUAGAUAUCACGAAGAACUCCGAUUGCGAAGGCAGCCUACUAAACUGCAACUGACAUUGAGGCUCGAAAGUGUGGGUAUCAAACAGGAUUAGAUACCCGAGUAGUC
rnacentral:rRNA from 1 species